CAGCCGCCACGGGAAAACGGAGGGUGCAAGCGUUAUCCGGAUUUAUUGGGUUUAAAGGGUCCGUAGGCGGACUUAUAAGUCAGUGGUGAAAGCCUGUCGCUUAACGAUAGAACUGCCAUUGAUACUGUAAGUCUUGAGUAUAUUUGAGGUAGCUGGAAUAAGUAGUGUAGCGGUGAAAUGCAUAGAUAUUACUUAGAACACCAAUUGCGAAGGCAGGUUACCAAGAUAUAACUGACGCUGAGGGACGAAAGCGUGGGUAGCGAACAGGAUUAGAUACCCCUGUAGUCCCUGUCUCUUAUAC
rnacentral:rRNA from 1 species